UACAGAGGGGGCAAGCGUUGUUCGGAAUUACUGGGCGUAAAGGGCUCGUAGGCGGCCAACUAAGUCAGACGUGAAAUCCCUCGGCUUAACCGGGGAACUGCAUCUGAUACUGGAUGGCUUGAGUUCGGGAGAGGGAUGUGGAAUUCCAGGUGUAGCGGUGAAAUGCGUAGAUAUGCGGAGGAACACCGAUGGCGAAGGCAGUCCCCUGGGCCUGUACUGACGCUCAUGCACGAAAGCGUGGGGAGCAAACAGG
rnacentral:rRNA from 1 species